UUAGAAAUUAGUAGUGCAAAUAUAAAUGUUUGAAUCUACUGUAUGUAUUUUAAUCUCCCCAAUGCGAUAUUAUACUAGCUAUAGCGCAUUCUUAGGAACUAGAAAAGGGUUGAGAAAGUUUAUUACGCCACUUAAAUUUUUUACUUGGUGAUAAGAUUUUCGAAACAAGGUUCAUCUAUUUUGUGAAAUAUUAACUUAACCCAACAAUUCCUUAGCUAGAUGUGCUUACUUAGUAGAUUUGCACAUACUAUAUUUAAGGAGUGACAGCGUAGUAGAUACAAAGUGGUGACGAAUCCAUUUUCUUAUCAAAAACAAUUCCAAAAGCAGGCGUUCAUUCAUUCAAAUAAAUUCCGAACACCAAUUUCACCCCAUUCUGUGUAAUAUUCAUCGACAUCAAAGCCAUCAGAAGGAAUGGCCACAAGACAGUUGCUUUGCGUAAGAGAACAUACACAGAAGCGGGCGCUAGUCAGGAGUAUUAUAGCAGCUGACAAGACGAGAAAGAAAAUAUACACAAAUACAUACAUAUGUACAUGAAUAUCUACAUUCAUAAAAACUGUUUGACACACACAUAAGUAUGUAUGUAUGUACAUAUCUGCAUUUAUGCUUAUUUAGAUGUCACAUAGUUGUACAUGCAUAUGUAUGUGUGUUGUUGAGAUACAAAGCCAAAGCGGUAUUGCUAGAAGUUGGACUUCCUGUAUAAACUCAUACAUACACAUUCAUGUAUGUAUGCACAUGCAUAUAUGUACUAUAUACAUAUCUAUUCGUGCUGAAGAACUGCCUAGCUAGUUGUUCUGAAGAACCGACUGAGUGGUAACUGACGUCUCACGCUGCUGCGAAUUUUUCAGCUCUUAAUUUUAAACCCUGUUUAUGUUUUCCAGUAGAAACUCCUUGCCUGAUGUGGGCCUCUUUUCGCUUCCUCUGACCUUCUUCAGUCUUUCAUAUGGUUGGAGUCGUUUUGUGCAUUUUACGUCCACAUCGGUGUGUGUGUGAUUGUGUGGCUGCGUCAAAUGAAUAACGAAAACAACUCCCAGUUGAGGAGUAGAAAAGCAACGGCCGGCGAUGUUGCAGCUGAGACUAUCUGAAACUUGGCGGUAAGUUGUUGUUGCUUUUUUUAUUUUUGUUUUGUUGUCAGCCCGUCUUUUCACUUUGGUGACUACAGUCACAUUUCCAAAUGAAGCCGACGGCAACUAAACGAUUCACCAAGCAACCAACCAACAAACCAGCCAGCCAAGAAAUAAAAACAAACAUAAAACAACAAAUACAAGCACAUACGCGCUAACACGUUCGUCGAGUAGGUAAUUGUCGUCAAACGUUGUUGGAAUCGAAACAGGCGAAGAGUGCAUGUUACUCAGCGAGGCAGCAGCAACGCACGAACGCUUGUGUGCCAAAGUACAAUUCGGGCAAAUACGAAUAAGUGUCUCGUGCGUGUGUUCGCAUUCGUAGGUAAUAUGAAAUCAAAGGUGGUAGUAGCGGUGGUUGGUGCGCAUCCACAACAAUGCGCCGUGUGAAAUGUGGCAACAUCGCAACGACGACAAUGUUGUUUUGUAUAAAUCCAUUUGCGAUUUGCUACAGCCAAAGCAGCUCGGCCUUUUAGCUCUGGCUCUCACAGUUUCUGUGGCGGGCUGUCGGUUGCUUUCUGCCUGCUGUCGAUGGCUGCGCUGAUGUGUUAUGCCUGCGCGUAACUGCGAGAUACAAAGAAGGUUAUUUCUACACGUCAUGGUUCGGUUGUCUGCCUGUCUGCUGCCCGCCAACCGAACGUCUGUUAAUCGGCCCUAGCGACCGUCUGUCGUCUGUUCGUUCCUCAAUCUAUCUAUUCGCAUGGCAGCUGUGUGCGUGUUUACCUUUUUUGUAGGCUGUUCGGCCGAGAAUGUAUUAGCUCUCGUUUGUGUUUUCGUGUAGGUUUCAUCGUCACCGUUUUGUUUUUCUCGAUUUCGAGUUAUUUCGCAGAUACUAUUUAUUUUUCAUUUCUGCUUUAGCAUACACAAUUCACGGUAAUUGCUUGUUGUUGCCUUUGCUGCCGCUGUUCAUGUUAUCGCCGUUCUCUGCUGAUGCUAUUUCGCUUUAGUAGUUUCAUUAUAUUGUAUGUAUUAUUUCGGCAAGUAAGUAUCUGACGGAUACUCGUUUGGUAAACAAUUUUUUUCCUUAACUUACCGGUAUAUGUUUAUGUGUGCCUUCAUGGCGUAAUGUUUAUUUUCUUCCACAACCGAAAUUCGACAUUUUGUGUUGGCUAUUCCCGAAAGCGGCAAAAAUAUAUUGUAAGAAAUACAUACAUAUGUAUACUAUUUAUGUGGCCCUCAUCCACAGAUUUAUAUCGGGCAUACAUAUAUUUAGUAUAUAGUCAUGCUAGUAUAGUGAGGCUACUAAAGUUUAAUCAUACAGUUUCGUUUAACCAGCUUGAAAUGACUCCUUAGUACCGGUUAUGUACUAUUAUUUUUGUAUUUUUUUCAUUAAUUAUCAUAUUGAUGGAUUUUUGUUUCAUAAGCACCUCAUAACGCUAUAAAAUGUUCAAAAUAAACACAAACCUACAUUUGUUUGCAAAUAUAAUUUUUAUUUCCCUGCCAGAAUAUUAAAGAAUCCUAAUUUCUGCAAAUGAAUAAUAACGGAUAGUCUAUUUCUAUCUGGGAUCAGGGCAUAAUUUUUAGUAAAAUCAAAAACGAUAAAUAUGUGUACAAUCGGCUACCUAACUGAAAACACUAUUAUAAUUUUAGAAUAACAAAGCGGAGAGUUUGCGUGUUCUUUUACUUAAAAUAUGAGAUAUUUUAUAUAUGUAUAUUAGUUAAUUGGACUUAUUUCUACCGACAACCAAUUUACGCCCACCAACAACACAUAUUUUUGAUCGUAAAAGGCACCUUAGACCUCACUGGAUUACAAUCCGCGGUCUUUCACACAUACGUACUUACGUUUAUUAACCAGUAUAAAAAAAAUCUCAUAUGGAUAUGAGUACUAUGUAAUAAUGUAUUUGCAAAAACUUACACGUACUCACAUACAUAUGUAUGUAUGUACAUACAUAUGUAUGUAUGCAUAAUGCAUAGGUGCACAUACAAACAAGUGUAUGAAAGCAAAUAAGUGAAUAUGUACAAUUCCAUUCGUAUUUAGCCAAGAACUAAAGUAUGUACUGAAUAAAUUCAUACAUGUUUACAUACACGCAUACAUAUGUAAGUAUGUACAUAUGUAUGUUCGUAGGUAUUGCAGUAAGAAAUUAAUUUAAUUACAAUUUGAACAAAACGAAUAAAGAAACGCGCUCGUCGUUCCGUCGAGCAAUCAGCCGAGUCAGUAGCAGCGAGGGAACGUCAAAACAUGAAAAAGGCAAAUUGUUUAUUGGAUGGUGUGGUGUGGUAAUGGAAAAUGAGUCAUGCGGCGGAGCAAAACAGAUGCACGUACCGUACUCACUAACACCAGCACGCUCAUGCGAAAAUUGAUAAAUAGUACAAAUUUCAACUAUACACACAUAGUUAUCUACAUAUAAGUACAUACAUACAUACAUACAUAUGCCGAGCUCAAUGUGUGAGUAAUAGUGGGCAUAUGCCAGACAUGGAAUGGAAUAACACACCAUCCGGCGAAUGCGAAUGAAAAGCCACUUAUAUAAAUACAUACAUACAUACGUGCCUUCUCACAUAUGGAUGGAUAAAAAUAAAUAUAAGUAUGUACAUACAUAUAUAAGCGGCCAACGUCGUGUAAGAUUGAAUCCGAGCUUGUGUGACCCUCCGUAGACAUGUGAGCAAAUUUCUUUUUUCGCAAUUUGCGAGCUAUUCACUUGCACACCACCGUUGUAGUCGGACGUGACGAGCUGUUCUUCCGUCAGUCGCAACUCAAGCCCAACUCCAUUGCAUUCCCGCUGCCACAAUUUUAAGCCAAGUCUGUAUUAAUUUUUUUCUAAUUUUAAUUUUUUUAUGCAGAUGUAGGAACACGAGUGUUUACAUAAAUAGACACACAUAAGAGUGUGUUUAAUAAAUGUACAUACAAUGUAUGUUUUUGCUACGAAUUUUUCGAAAUACAUACUAUACAUACAUAUUGGGUUGCCAAAAAAGUCUUGCGGUAUUUUUAUUGAAUCAAUUCGUGUGGCACCCAUACAUCGAGCUUCUUAGUGACUCCAAGCUUCUUCAAAUGGUUUAUAACAGUUUGAUGACUACUAUGCCGGUCUCUUUCGACUAAUUCAGCGAUUUUAUCGCAAUUUUCGACGACAGGCCUUCCGGAGCGUGGCGCAUCUUCGACCACCUCUACACCAGAACGAAUACGUUUAAACCAUUGUAGUGCGGUGGAAAUGGAAACUGUAUCGGGUCCAUAAACUGCACAAAUUUUAUUGACGGCUUGAGAUGCAUUUUUGCCUUUAUCGUAGUAGUACUGUAAAAUAUGCCGUAUUUUCUCUUUAUUUUGCUCCAUGUUUGCGACGCUAUAACUCACGAACGACUUAACAGAAACGACAAUCAAUCAAACACGUGUUAGCGCGUGAAAUGAGCUUUCCAAAAAGGUAUAGCAUGACCCGAUGCGACGAAUAAAACAAGAACUACGCGCUUUCAGCGCCAACUAGCGAAAAGACCGCAAGACUUUUUUGACAACCCUAUAUGAAUCUAUGUAUAUUCAUACAAAAUAAAAUUUCUUCAAAUUAUUUAAUGUUAAAACCUUUUCUUGUUUUUUGUAUACACAUACAUACUUGUGGUUAUUCGUAAAAACGAAAAUUUAUUUGUUCAAGCAUUUGUAAAAAAAACUUCUUUAUAGUAAUCAUAUUAUCAACGUGACAAACGUUUAAAUUUCUGUAUUCCUCACAUACAACCGUUUCUCCGAUAACAUAGUGUUUAUAAGCUAUGGCAGCUUAGUAUUUUCGGAUAUUACAUCACACAAAAAUGGAGAAAACCUGAUCAUAGAACCAUUGCACUUCAUGCUGCGGUCUGUACAACCGGAGAACUUUGAGGCCAGUUUCCUCGAAACUAACUUUCGUCAUCUGACCGUCAAAACUGCGAGCGAAUUAUUUAACCGAUUUACUUGAACUAAAGCGUAUUUUAUAGACAAUUUUAUACUCAAGCGCGUCAUAGAGCGCUUUUCCGAGAAAAAUGGCAUUUUCACAGUUCUUUAAAUAUUUUUAUCUCGAAAAACACAGGUAAAAAUUGCACUUUUUACAAAAUCCUGGCCUACAUGCUUGAUUUUUCGAAUUUCUCAAAAUCCCUCUACUAUGCACUUGAUAAAAGCGUCUAGAUUAAAAAAAAAUACUUUUUUCGUUUCGGAUAAGAAGCCUAGCUAGGAAGUUGGCGGCCGCAAAAAUAUUUCAAUCAACGGGAUCGUUGAUAUUUCCGCCAUUUUUGUUUUUUUUUUACAUAAAAUAUUUUUUAUCGGAUGUGAUCUGUUUUUAUUCUUCCAUAAUAAAACUGGAUACAAAAGGUAUCUCCCUCCUUAAGUAAAAGCCUAAAUAAACAGUUAUUAUCUUUGUGCAACUAAAUUUUUUGAAUUCAUGAUUCCUCAAAUAAAAUAACUUAACGUGAAAUGCUGAUGUUUCCUGUUUUACCUUGAAAAUUUGGUACAUAGUAGGCAUUUACCAUAUAAAAAUUAUAGUUUAUAAAACCAUCUUGCUGACAGCUUGGCUUAUUUCGUACAAUAAAAGUAUAUUAUGUUGGACUGAAUGAGAUCUUCUAUAGACUCUUUGUUCUUGAAGUAGCGUUGAUUGUUCCCUCAUACACGUAUUCAUUGGAAAGUGCUCGUUCGGUAUGCGCAACACCUUUCGAAAGUCUCAAAUUACGCUCAGCAAAGUGUGGUCGCCGGUUGUGUAAUGAAUUCAAGCCUUAGUCAGACACGUACAGCAUAUAUUUAUUGCCCAUACCCAUUUAUAUACUACGUAUGUGUAUAUAUUUACAUAUGUAUGUUUACUAUUUCAUGUGUUGUAGAAAAUAAUUCAUGCUAAAUACUGUGCUGGUACAUUUUUUAUUGAAAGUUCUCAAAUAACCCAACUUAAAAUAUAUGUACAUAUGUAUGUAUACUACAUAAUGGGAGAAUGGAAUAUGUAUGUACAUAUUAUUUAAUUCUAUAUACAGUAAUUUGUACGUCAGAUCCCUACAUCACAUGUGGGUCGCGUUAAUAAAGGUAUGUAGGCAUUUGUUCCUGUUGCCCAUAAUUUGGUAUACGUAAAGCCCGGGUUUAGCGAGGCUCGUCUAUUUUUUUUGUUACAUGUGUAGCUCACCAUGGCUUGGUUUCCGCGGUUUAUUUAAAAGGCGCCCUGUGAAAGGCCAUGGCUGGGUAGGAGCCUUCAGUAACUGUAGAAUAGAUACCUAGAACAUACUCAGAAAGCACAUUUUAAUUUAAGAUUACAGUUUAGGAAGAUAUAAGAGUUCAGUUAAAGCAGAUAUAUUUGAAAUAGUAUUUUCUUAUUUUUAUUACAAUUGGCUAAACGAUCCGACAAGAGUUGGAGGAAAUAAUGAAACAAUAAGUAAUUUAAAAUGUUACGCGCGAAAGCGGACAUGCAUGUUUAUAAACAUACAAAUAUAACCAUUUUUUCACAUAAAUACUAUAAGUAAGUGCAAUGAGAAAAUUACAAAUGCGAUAAAAUUCAAUAUCGGACUGACGUCAAUUGCCGCCAAUACAGACAUACAUAGCUAUUUAGCCAUAAUAUUGGUAAAAUGCCAAUAUUAAUUUUUUUAAGAUAAAGUGUACACGAAAUCCCUAUUCGCUUCGAUUGAUUCAAACACGCACACACACACCCACAAAUACGUAAGCGAAUGCAAAAUCAAAUUAUAGCCUCAUUCGCCUUUUUCCCCUUCAGUUCCUCAUAGCAUUAUAUACAUAUACAUAUGUAUGUAUGUGUAUGUAAUUAUUACCUAAAUUAUACUAUAGAGGCACAUCUGGUCACACGCUCUUCAAAUGUAUACAACAUUCGUGAUUCGCUGCAUUAUUGAUAGAAAAAAUCGAUAAAAUAAAUUAUUAUUAAAGGCGCAAAAAAUUCUUCAGAGGGGUUGCACACCAUGAAUGAAAACUAUAAUUAUAAAACUGAAAUAAAAUCAAUAUUUGAAUGAAAAUGGCAGCUGAAAAAGCCGUACGCUACCAUUGGUCAAACGUGUGCGACACAGAAAUCCACUUAAAACAUCCUGAAGCAUAAAUAAUCGAAAACAUAUAAAUUGCCAUUACUAAGCCUCGAAUUAAGAUACAAAAAUGUUAUUUGGUAUAACGAAAUGCAUUAGCGAGAGGCAUCUAUUUUAUGGUUGAAAAAAUGUUUAGAAAAUCGAUGUGGGCAAAUCGAUUCUGCCCUCUAAUAAUUUUAAUGUGCAUAACUUUUAAACUAUUUAAACUAUAAUAACUAAAUUCGCUCUUAUCGCCACUGUAAAAAUGGAUGAAAUCGGAUGAUAACCCCACCUAUUCCCCAAAUAACGAUUCUAUUAAAAACUACUAAAAGCGCUAUAAAUCACUAAAUAAAUGUGUCAGAAACACAAAUUUUUACACCCGAGAACGUAGAAAUGGGCUUAAUAGGAUGAUGGGCUGUAAAAAUUUUACGAUGGGCGUGACAUCACCCACAUUUAGAUAAAACCCCAUAUCUUGGGACCUACCCGAGCUAUUUGGAAUCAAAUUGACCAAAUGCGGUAGGCAAUAUUAUCUUACUAUUCCAAUAUUACAACGAAAAAUGAGCGAAAUAAGACAAAAAUAAUGCCUACUUCGUGAUAGCACAACUUCAAAUUCCAUCCUUCAUUUUAAUUUAAAUAUUACUCAUACGCUCUGCUGAACUGAGCAAAAAUACGUGUUGCUUUCUAGUGUGGUGUAAAAUAUAAGUACAUAUGUAUGUUCGGCACCGGCAUUUUAUAUAUCCAGGAAAUAUGUAUUACCUUAUCCCUUUUUUGUUGUUCUUAACACGGAAGUAUCGAAAAUUGCAGUGACAAAACCUGCAAGAAGGUGCAAAAAACCAUACUCGUAAUCGUCGGCAGAUUUUGCGACGCAAUAUUAUUGCCGGUGCUCAAUUCCAUUCACAUCGCCACAAUUAUCGCAUUCACAAAUACUUGUAUGUAUAUAUAUGUAUGUAAGCCCGUUAAUAUGAUCGCUUUGCAAGCGGCAGAUGUCAGUAGCGUUAUCUGCCCUAGAAGUAAUAUGCAGCUCUAUGGAACUUAUAAUUCUGCAUAACCGAAUUUAAACAGAAAAUAUUAUCAUAUAAUAUUUAAAAACUAAUUUGUGUUUCUUAACCCCAGUAAAUUCAGCCUCAACUAGAAUCCCUUAUCUUUUGUGGAACACUAUGCUACAAGUAUGUCUCUGUGUUUUCUCCCGAGUACAUUUUGUAACAUUUCGAGGAGCUGUCAGAUAUUUUCCUUCAUUUAGUCAUUUUGUUUGUGUUGUUUUCUCUCCUGGGACUUGGAUUUAUUUGACUUGAAUUUAGCCCAUUCCCACGAGUUCGUUUUUGAUUUUUGAAGGAAAAAUUAAUAACUGUUUAUAUUUAAGGCCGAAUGUGCUCGUUGAAUUUAUAUUUAGGCUCUGUAAUUUGUUUUUGUAAUGUUGUUUUACUUUGCUUCUAAACUACAAUUAAUCAUUUAGAAAAAAUUUCACAUCAUUGCCUUUAGGUGAUAAAGAAAUAUUUACUCAGUCAAAUGCUUGUGUGUGUUCAAUGUGAGUAUCAGUUAAACUGACAUUUCAAACUGAUUAGAUCACAUGAAAUUCGAUAAGAUAGUGUGAGAAGGGCAUUUUCAGUUAUGAUUGGACGGCAACGGCAACGGCAACGUGCAACGUGGAGUGGUGCGAUUUGUGUUAGCGUGAAAAAUAACAUGUGGCUCUAGCAAGCAGUUAUGGCAGUCGAAAUUAAAUGCCUACGUAUGUGUGAAUUAUCGGUACUUGACCGACUUUUCACAAUUACGAUUGUAAAACUAGCCGUUUGCAUUUACUCUAUUUUUGCUUAGAUUAGAUUUGGGUAUGUCCGAUAUCGGCAAGAUGUGGUCAUGAAGACACGUUGAAACUAUCUAUAUAAAUACAUAUGUAAGUAUGUA